CCUACGGGGCGCUGCAGUGAGGAAUAUUGGUCAAUGGACGAGAGUCUGAACCAGCCAAGUAGCGUGAAGGAUGACUGCCCUAUGGGUUGUAAACUUCUUUUAUAUGGGAAUAAAAUGAUCCACGUGUGGGAUUUUGUAUGUACCAUAUGAAUAAGGAUCGGCUAACUCCGUGCCAGCAGCCGCGGUAAUACGGAGGAUCCGAGCGUUAUCCGGAUUUAUUGGGUUUAAAGGGAGCGUAGGUGGAUUGUUAAGUCCGUUGUGAAAGUUUGCGGCUCAACCGUAAAAUUGCAGUUGAAACUGGCAGUCUUGAGUACAGUAGAGGUGGGCGGAAUUCGUAGUGUAGCGGUGAAAUGCUUAGAUAUCACGAAGAACUCCGAUUGCGAAGGCAGUUCACUGGACUGCAACUGACACUGAGGCUCGAAAGUGUGGGUAUCAAACAGGAUUAGAUACCCUGGUAGUC
rnacentral:rRNA from 1 species